AGCGAACGCUGGCGGCAUGCCUUACACAUGCAAGUCGAACGGCAGCGCGGGGCAACCUGGCGGCGAGUGGCGAACGGGUGAGUAAUAUAUCGGAACGUACCCUGGAGUGGGGGAUAACGUAGCGAAAGUUACGCUAAUACCGCAUACGAUCUAAGGAUGAAAGCAGGGGACCGCAAGGCCUUGUGCUCCUGGAGCGGCCGACAUCUGAUUAGCUAGUUGGUGGGGUAAAGGCCCACCAAGGCAUCGAUCAGUAG
rnacentral:rRNA from 1 species